rnacentral:rRNA from 1 species
ACGGGUGAGUAAUGUCUGGGAAACUGCCUGAUGGAGGGGGAUAACUACUGGAAACGGUAGCUAAUACCGCAUAACGUCGCAAGACCAAAGAGGGGGACCUUCGGGCCUCUUGCCAUCAGAUGUGCCCAGAUGGGAUUAGCUAGUAGGUGGGGUAAUGGCUCACCUAGGCGACGAUCCCUAGCUGGUCUGAGAGGAUGACCAGCCACACUGGAACUGAGACACGGUCCAGACUCCUACGGGAGGCAGCAGUGGGGAAUAUUGCACAAUGGGCGCAAGCCUGAUGCAGCCAUGCCGCGUGUGUGAAGAAGGCCUUCGGGUUGUAAAGCACUUUCAGCGAGGAGGAAGGUGGUGAACUUAAUACGUUCAUCAAUUGACGUUACUCGCAGAAGAAGCACCGGCUAACUCCGUGCCAGCAGCCGCGGUAAUACGGAGGGUGCAAGCGUUAAUCGGAAUUACUGGGCGUAAAGCGCACGCAGGCGGUUUGUUAAGUCAGAUGUGAAAUCCCCGGGCUCAACCUGGGAACUGCAUUUGAAACUGGCAAGCUAGAGUCUCGUAGAGGGGGGUAGAAUUCCAGGUGUA